rnacentral:rRNA from 1 species
AUUUUUAUGUUGUGACCUCUGAGCUCCAGAUUGGGACAGAGGGAAUCAGCAUAAUUUUUUGUGGUGCAUUUACUUGAUUGGUGCUUGGGGAUGUUUGAGGCAGAUUUGUUUCCGUCGUUUUGAGGCCAGCUUGCUGGUACCCAAACGGUGUUAGCAUUUUUUGUCUUGGGCAUUUGAGUAUGGCUYACGUGUAUUUAUUGGACAGAUCUGAGUGUAAGUUACGGUCGCAUGCGACACGUGCUUUUCAAUUAGUUCGGUCCAGUUAAUGCUCUCGUACUCGUUCCCCAUGUAAAAGCCGGUCAUCUAUCCGACCCGUCUUGAAACACGGACCAAGGAGUUUAUCGUGUGCGCAAGUUUUUGGGUGUUAAAAACUUAAAAGCGAAAUGAAAGUAAAUGACUCUUUAGAGUCUGAUGUGCGAUCUUGUAAAAAAGUGUAGCAUGGCCCCAUUCUAACUGUUUACAGUAGGGUGGCGGAAGAGCGUACGCGGUGAGACCCGAAAGAUGGUGAACUAUUCCUGAGCAGGACGAAGCCAGAGGAAACUCUGGUGGAAGUCCGAAGCGGUUCUGACGUGCAAAUCGAUCGUCUGACUUGGGUA